rnacentral:rRNA from 1 species
CUGCAGCUUGCUGCGGGUACUCGAGUGGCGAACGGGUGAGUAACACGUGGGUGAUCUGCCUUGCACUUCGGGAUAAGCUUGGGAAACUGGGUCUAAUACCGGAUAGGACAGCUGUUUAGUGUCAGUUGUGGAAAGUUUUUUCGGUGCAAGAUGAGCUCGCGGCCUAUCAGCUUGUUGGUGGGGUAAUGGCCUACCAAGGCGUCGACGGGUAGCCGGCCUGAGAGGGUGUACGGCCACAUUGGGACUGAGAUACGGCCCAGACUCCUACGGGAGGCAGCAGUGGGGAAUAUUGCACAAUGGGCGGAAGCCUGAUGCAGCGACGCCGCGUGGGGGAUGAAGGCCUUCGGGUUGUAAACUCCUUUCGACAGGGACGAAGCGUAAGUGACGGUACCUGUAUAAGAAGCACCGGCUAACUACGUGCCAGCAGCCGCGGUAAUACGUAGGGUGCGAGCGUUGUCCGGAAUUACUGGGCGUAAAGAGCUCGUAGGUGGUUUGUCGCGUCGUCUGUGAAAUUCCGGGGCUUAACUCCGGGCGUGCAGGCGAUACGGGCUGACUUGAGUGCUGUAGGGGAGACUGGAAUUCCUGGUGUAGCGGUGAAAUGCGCAGAUAUCAGGAGGAACACCGAUGGCGAAGGCAGGUCUCUGGGCAGUAACUGACGCUGAGGAGCGAAAGCAUGGGUAGCGAACAGGAUUAGAUACCCUGGUAGUCCAUGCCGUAAACGGUGGGCGCUAGGUGUAGGGGGCUUCCACGUCUUCUGUGCCGUAGCUAACGCAUUAAGCGCCCCGCCUGGGGAGUACGGCCGCA